rnacentral:rRNA from 1 species
CAGAGGGUGCAAACGUUGUUCGGAAUUACUGGGCGUAAAGCGAGUGUAGGCGGUCUCAUAAGUCGGGUGUGAAAGCCCUGGGCUCAACCCAGGAAGUGCACUCGAUACUGCGAGGCUAGAGUAUCGGAGAGGUUGGUGGAAUUCUCGGUGUAGAGGUGAAAUUCGUAGAUAUCGAGAGGAACACCGGUGGCGAAGGCGGCCAACUGGACGAAUACUGACGCUGAGACUCGAAAGCGUGGGGAGCAAACAGGAUUAGAUACCCUGGUAGUCCACGCCGUAAACGAUGGGUGCUAGGUGUCGCGGGCUUUGACUCCCGCGGUGCCGUAGCUAACGCAUUAAGCACCCCGCCUGGGAAGUACGGCCGCAAGGCUA